UACGAGAGGCCCAAACGUUAUUCGGAUUUACUGGGCUUAAAGAGUUCGUAGGCGGCGCAGAAAGUAGGGUGUGAAAGCCCUCGGCUCAACCGAGGAAUUGCGCUCUAAACUACUGUGCUUGAGGAGCCUAGAGGUGAGCAGAACUGAUGGUGGAGCGGUGAAAUGCGUUGAUAUCAUCAGGAAUACCGGAGGCGAAGGCGGCUCACUGGGGGUUAUCUGACGCUGAGGAACGAAAGCCAGGGGAGCGAACGGG
rnacentral:rRNA from 1 species